GACGAACGCUGGCGGCGUGCUUAACACAUGCAAGUCGAACGGAAAGGCCCUGCUUUUGUGGGGUGCUCGAGUGGCGAACGGGUGAGUAACACGUGAGUAACCUGCCCUUGACUUUGGGAUAACUUCAGGAAACUGGGGCUAAUACCGGAUAGGAGCUCCUGCUGCAUGGUGGGGGUUGGAUAGUUUCGGCGGUUGGGGAUGGACUCGCGGCUUAUCAGCUUGUUGGUGGGGUAGUGGCUUACCCAGGCUUUGACGGGUAGCCGGCCUGGGAGGGUGACCGGGCACAUUGGGACUGAGAUACGGCCCAGACUCCUACGGGAGGCAGAAGUGGGGAAUAUUGCACAAUGGGCGGAAGCCUGAUGCAGCAACGCCGCGUGCGGGAUGACGGCCUUCGGGUUGUAAACCGCUUUCGCCUGUGACGAAGCGUGAGUGACGGUAAUGGGUAAAGAAGCACCGGCUAACUACGUG
rnacentral:rRNA from 1 species